AGUUAAAUUACUGCAGAGAGCUGCUGAGAGUUUAGGAGAGCUACUCCACAAGAUGGCAACAUAGACACAAAUUACAUGGACAGACGAAAUUAGUGCUUCAGGUGAAAACACUAAAGGCGGAGACAGAGGAGGAACACACAGGAUCACAUGGGGCAUGACAGGCACGGAGGAGGAAGGUAAACAAACAGAGCAGUAAAAACAC
rnacentral:lncRNA from 1 species